CCUAAACUCGUAUGCAAAAGAGAGGGCCACGCUGCCAUCUUUCAGACCGCAUCGAACUCCUCCUUUCCGCCGCCGCCGCCGCCGCCGCCGCCGCAGCCAUUCAUGGCGAGGCGCCGCCGGGGAGGAUUCGAACAUUAAUCCAUGCUAUUCCCCACCCGUCCCUGUAAAUCCCAAGCUCCUGCCGCCGUAGCUGCUAUCUGCAGCCUCCGCCCCUCCUCCUCAUCGCCGGCGCUUAUUCCUUCCCCGUAUCACGACGACAACCCAUUCGCCUCACUACUCACUUCCGAUCCCCCUCCGCCGGAUCCGCUCCGCCAGGUUCUCGCCACGGGAGACGUCCACGGCGCGCUCCGCGGCCUCCCUGGCCUCUCUCGCCAGCUGUUCCGGUGGGCGGAGGGCACCUCUCACGGUUUCCCCCGCUCCGCCUCCGCAUUCGCCGCCGUCCUUGUCCCGCUCGCUGAGGCCAGGCGCAACCGCUCCGCUUAUCCCGUCUCCCUCCGCGCUAUCCAGGCUGGCCUUCUCCUUCCCCUCAUCUCUCUCCUCCUCACGUAUCCCCUGUCCCCCUCCUCCCACCACCUCCUCAACUUCCUCUUACGCAUGUCCACCAAGUUUGUGCCCGAAUGCCAAGCUCAGGACCCUGCGCCCACCAGCUGUUCGACACAAUGCCUUUCCGCCUUCCAAGAGAUGGCGCGUCAAGGUGUCGCCCCUUACGUCAAGGUGUGCAACUGCGUGCUCUCUGUGCUGUGCGACGCGGCCAGGUGGGACGACAUGCGUGCUGUGUAUUCAGAUAUGCUUCAGCUUGGGGUUGAGCCAUCCAUUGUCACAUACAAUACAUUGCUGGAUUCUUUUUGUAAGGCAGGGAGGAUCGAUCAGGCUGUCAUGCUGCUCAAGGAUAUGGAGGCCCAAGUUGCUGGCUGCUUGCCGAAUGAUGUCACCUAUAAUGUGGUGAUCAGUGGGCUGGCCAGGAACGGUGAGCUGGACAAGGCGGCUCAACUGGUUGACAGAAUGCGGUUGUCCAAACAAGCGUCAGCCUUCACAUAUAAUCCACUUAUCAGUGGGUUGUUAGCAAGGGGUUUUGUUGAAAAGGCUGAUGCUUUGCAGCAGGAGAUGCAGAAUGAUGGCAUUGUGCCAACGGUGGUGACAUACAAUACAUUGAUUCAUGGGUUAUUUAAAAGAGGGAACGUGGAGGCGGCAGAGUUGAAAUUUCUGGAAAUGAGGGCAAUGGGGUUGCAGCCAGAUUUGAUUACUUACAAUUCCUUGAUAAAUGGACAUUGUAAGGCAUGUAAUUUGAAGCAGGCACUUUGGUUGCUUGGUGAUUUGAGACGUGCAGGGCUAGCACCGACAGUUAUGACAUAUAACAUCCUUAUAGAUGGCUAUUGUAGAUUAGGUAAUUUAGGGGGGGCUAUGAGAUUCAAGGAGGAGAUGAGAGCAGAGUGCUGCCUGCCCGAUGUUUGUACAUAUACUAUUCUUAUGAAUGGGUCAUGUAAGGUCAAGAACAUUGCUAUGGUAAGGGUGUUCUUUGAUGAAAUGCUGAGUAAGGGUUUAAAGCCAGACUGCUUUGCUUACAACACAAGGAUUUCAGCAGAGCUGACUCUAGGUGCUAUUUCCGAUGCUUUUCAGUUGAGGGAGGAGAUGAUGCCGAGUGGAAUUUCUUCCGAUACAGUUACAUAUAAUAUUCUUAUUGAUGGACUGUGCAAGGCUGGUAGCCUGAAAGAUGCCUAUGUGUUGUGGAUGAAGAUGGUCAGUGAUGGGUUACAACUUGACUGUGUCACAUACACUUGCUUGAUUCAUGCACAUUGUAAGUGGGGGCUUCUAAGGAAAGCAAAUAAUAUUUUUCGUGGCAUGGUUGCAAGUGGUUUGUCACCCUCGGCUGUGACCUAUACCAUUUUUAUUCACACAUACUGUAGGGUGGGAGAUCUUGAUUCAGCAUAUGGCUGGUUCCGGAAGAUGCUGGAAGAAGGAGUGGAACCUAAUGAAGUAACAUAUAAUGUGCUCAUGAAUGCACUAUGCCGGAUAGGGAGAACUGAAUUGGCUUAUCAAUAUUUUCAUGAGAUGCUGGAGAGAGGAUUGGUGCCAAACAAAUACACAUACACUUUGUUGAUAGACGGGAACUGUAAAAAAGGUAACUGGGUGGAGGCUGUAAGGCUGUACUGUGAAAUGCAUCAGAAAGGUAUUCAUCCAGACCAUUGUACACAUAAUGCCUUGUUUAAGGGAUUUGGCGAAGAUCACAUGCACGACACAAUUCAGUACUUGGAGAAUGUUGUUUUGGGUGCAUAGGACGGUCUUCAAGAAAGGAUCGUCUUAGCCUUGCUUGGUGGAAAACUCUAUGACAGACGGAAUUUGGGGUGACACUCUGGAUAAAGGAGCUAUGUGAUUUCCAGACAGAUAACACAAACAGAUUGUGGAGCGGCUUGGCAGGAGGGGACUGCUGACCUACGGCAACUGCAUUCUUCUCAUUACACCGUGAAACCACUGAUCACCUUUUGACCGGUUUUGGAGGAAUUGCUGCCCUGGAGAGGUCUACUAGCCUGCACUCCAACGCUAGGGUGUGAAUUCGGUCCUUGGUGGAUUGAGAAACAUGAGGGGAUUCAACGCCUUUGUCCUGUUGAUAGCCUGGACAAUUUGGAUUUUUUUUUGAUAUAGUUUCCAGUGAAAAAUCCUAACCUGUUAAGCAGCUAGUGAGGACAGUCAAAGACUAUAAUGCGCUAGGUGGUGUGAGGCUGGCUAUAGCGAGAUGAGAAAGGCUGCUUGUUCGUGGUGGUUUAGCAGAAAUUAUUUAGCCUUCCCUAGCUAGCCAUGCUUCCGUAUGGUCUGUUUUUUUUUCCUCUUUCUUUUACCCUUUCUUCCUGUGGCUUGAUUCAAUCCAAAUUCGGCAGUUUGUUGCUCGGUUUGGGGCAAAGUUGUAAGUGUUGUUUCCUAUCCUAAUAUAAUGUCAUGCAGGCCUACUGCAUGUUCUCUAAAAAAAGAGAGAUUAGAUUUGCAGUGCAAACCUGUUUAAUUCACCUACAGUAUGUCUUUCGGCGACUCUUCGAAUGGUCAAAUUCCAUCCAACUUCUACUCCUAGAAACGUUCCAUGAGAUUAGGAUGAUAAUCGUGUGCAUAAGCCUGGGGUCAUCUAUGUUGGUUAGUAAGCUGAUCCAGUGAAUUCUGAUAUCUGGACCAUCUGAUUUAUUUUCCUCCUGUUCUGUUUCUUCCGAAGUAAUUCUGAAAAAAUGAUCUGCGGUAGUUUCCUAUGGUUAUUCUGACGGGACCAAAUUCAUGCUUGAUACACAAAGAUAUUAUCCAACCUAUGCAUGUUUGAAUUUUAAUGUCCAGUACCUUUCCAUUUGUGAAGUUUAGGCACCUUGUCCGAUAUGUUAUGGUUUGAUGAAUUACUGCAUAGUCAUUUUGGAAGGGCAGUAAUUAUGUCAUGGUUGCAUAUGUCGAUAUUAACCAGUACAUACCAUAUGAGCAGAUGCUUUCCCUUAGGCCAACUACUCCCACCGGUGGGUUUAUAAGCCGGGCAUGGGUUUUUAGGUCAUCAAUUUGACUAUGAAAACAUGUAUUAUAUUCUAUAAAAAAUAUAUCUUUAGAUUAGUUAGUUGUCAAAUGUAAUUUCUGACCAUAUAAUUUGUGUGGUAUAUUAUACAUGUUUUAUUAGUCAAAUCGAAGACCUAAAAACCCGUGUCCGACUUGUAAACCCAACUGGAGGGAGUAUUUUCAGUUUGUACUUGAUCUUGGCUACAUUAUAAUUUUUGAAUUGUGUUUACAUCGUCUUGAACAAAUAAUAAAUCUUUUAUUAAAGCAAACGGGAGAAGAGUUAUGGGAAAAAUGCCCACUUGCUCGUUGUUAGAGGAGAUAUAUAUAUUUGCGAGAGAAUAGUUAUGGGCAAAAUGCCCACUUGUUCGUUGUUAAACAGGAGAAGAGUAGUACAUUUACGAGUGUGCAUCAUGGGCAAACUAGGGCAGUAGAACUCAUGGGACUAUACAUGACACUCACAUUUGCUUAUAUUUGAUAUACGAUAGCAAAACGGGAGAAGAGUUAUGGGCAAAAUGCCCACUUGUUCGUGGUCCGUUGUUAAACAGGAGAAGGUAGUACAUUGCGAGUGUGCCUCAUGGGCAAACUAGGGUAGUAGAACGCAUAGGCCUAUACGCUACACUCUAACAUUGCUUAUAUUUGAUACACGAUAGCAAACAACUAACUUUGUGUAUGAAAAAAAAUCUAAAGUUCUUUUCUGAGUUUUAUCCUUAAAGUUUUGCAAUGUUCCUCUGCUUAGUGGUUCACCUAAUAAAAACAACGUGGCAGUGUAUGCAAGUGACAUGGCGGAAUUCAGAAUCAUGGAGCCUUUAACAUUCAUAUGAACAUUUGGUACCUCAUAUAUCUUCACUCAUGCCACACUAAUUCACUAGUAGUGCAUACUGCACAUAGUUCACUCAAGUUUCUAAUCCACUCAGGUUGUCGUAAUCUUCCCUGCUUGAUAUUUUGUUUCUCAAGGAAACACAAAAGUUAUGUGUCUCGAUGCAUUGAUGGAAGAAGAGAGUUUAUAUAUAUUCCUUGGACUAGGCCACAACACACGCACGCUGCUGCAGUACAAGGUGGAUUAACCUCUGUAAAGAUGAAGAAUAAUGCUACCACACCCGCAGAAACACAGUUCCUGCCCUCAGAUUUUAUCUUGUUUAUUGUCUCCCAAGUCUUGUUUGCACCAUCGAAGAUCAUACCUAGGAUAUGACCUCAUGCCAGCUUCGGCUAGCAAACAAGCAUUCCACAAGCAGGUCCCAUAGUAUGCAGGCCGCUGCAUGUGGCAGGCCCUUUGAUUUAUUUACUCUCUUGUUGAAUUGCAUCUCUAAGCCUUCAUUAAAACAUUUGUUUGGAACACUGUGUAUGUCUAUUUUGUGUUCCCUAAAGAAAACAAGUAUUGAGUACAUGAAUGCUGUUUAUGCUAUUGUGAAUUUGGUUUCCGUCAUUUGAUUUAUCAAAAUUCAGUUAACUUCUUUAUUGGGAUUAUGUCUUUAUUAUGUUGGCUUUCGAUAUAUGUAUGUAGUACGAUUGCAGGCUACUUGAUUGAGUUCGGUAUUUCAUAUGGCACAUGAGUCUUGUAGCCUAGUGCAUGGCAGAAAUAAAAUUUUGGGUGUGCACAUGGAAAUACUAUGGACUAAUUUUCCAGGGUGAAUCACUAAUGCCAAAUUUAUCCCAAAAGUUGGGAAUUGAGUUAGUAAUUUAAUUUUGCAGGCAGAAACCCUUUAAUAGUUUAUGUUCAGAAUUUGUGUCGUCAUCUAUGUGCACUCCAGUGUUUCUUUGCCUCUGCUUUAGACAGAAGAAAUUUCCAUGAGGUUUCAAAUACUGGUAAUCUUUUACCAUGCAACUACCCCCUCUGUAAACUAAUAUAAGAGCGUUCAGAUCACUACUUUAGUGAUCUAAACGCUCUUAUAUUAGUUUACAGAGGGAGUACUUUUUAUAGGUGUUGUUUAAAAAAAAGCAUUCAUUGGUUUAUUAAAAUUAUUUUUGUUUAUUCUCCUGUUUGUUUAGAAUUUCUCAUUGACUUGAAAGCUGAAUAACAUGCAUGCUUAUUGUUGCAUAAGCAUUACGAGCAAGCGGGCUGCUUUUUUAAUACAUGACUCGAAACAUGAUUUUAUCCUUUAGCAAAUGAAAUGUUUGCAGUAAAUGAAGUAUUUGCAUCCAGAUACUUUAGGCAGACAAAUAUUGAAAUAAUUUACUCUGAUAUUUGGCUAACAUGGUGAACAAAGAAAGAAGUGACUUACUAUAUCUUAAUGAUGAAUUUUUGUAGUAUCUUGUUUGGUUAUACUUAUCAGAACGUUUAUUUAUGGGGGGGAAUAACUAAUAAGAGGAGUUCAGAUUUUGUUGCUCAGGAUGACUUGUUUUUUCCUUGUCGUGAAGGCCAUGAAUAUCAUUGUAAGGUUGUGUUUCUGAUGAAUGUUAAUCAUGAUGUUAGAACACUCGGUGCUGCAUGUUUUGUUCCCUACAGUGAUAUGAAAUCACAUGUUCGUUGGUUGCAAUGAAAACUGGAAUCCAUCUAUGCAAUUAAUAAAUCCUGAUGUGCCUUCAUGAUUUUCUCAUAUGGUAUGUUCUCUAAGAAAAGGAAAAUUGUCAUGCUCUUCAUGAUUUUAUCUAGAACA